rnacentral:rRNA from 1 species
CCUACGGGAGGCAGCAGUGAGGAAUAUUGGUCAAUGGCCGAGAGGCUGAACCAGCCAAGUCGCGUGAGGGAAGACGGCCCUACGGGUUGUAAACCUCUUUUGUCGGGGAGCAAAGCGAACCACGUGUGGUUCAUUGAGAGUACCCGAAGAAAAAGCAUCGGCUAACUCCGUGCCAGCAGCCGCGGUAAUACGGAGGAUGCGAGCGUUAUCCGGAUUUAUUGGGUUUAAAGGGUGCGCAGGCGGAGGUGCAAGUCAGCGGUCAAAUUUCGGGGCUCAACCCCGUACUGCCGUUGAAACGGAAUCCCUUGAGUGCGCGGGAAGUAUGCGGAAUGCGUGGUGGAGCGGUGAAAUGCAUAGAUAUCACGCAGAACUCCGAUUGCGAAGGCAGCAUACCGGCGCGCAACUGACGCUCAUGCACGAAAGCGUGGGUAUCGAACAGGAUUAGAUACCCGAGUAGUC